rnacentral:tRNA from 1 species
GUGGCGGUAAGCUAAUAAAGGCGAUCGGGCUCAUGCCCCGAAAGUAACUACGGGAAGUUCGAGUUUCGCCACA